rnacentral:rRNA from 1 species
AACGAACGCUGGCGGCAUGCCUAACACAUGUAAGUCGAACGAUUGCCUUCGGGUGAUAGUGGCGCACGGGUGCGUAACGCGUGGGAAUCUGCCCUUAGGUUCGGAAUAACAGCUGGAAACGGCUGCUAAUACCGGAUGAUAUCGCGAGAUCAAAGAUUUAUCGCCUGAGGAUGAGCCCGCGUUGGAUUAGGUAGUUGGUGGGGUAAAGGCCUACCAAGCCGACGAUCCAUAGCUGGUCUGAGAGGAUGAUCAGCCACACUGGGACUGAGACACGGCCCAGACUCCUACGGGAGGCAGCAGUGGGGAAUAUUGGACAAUGGGCGCAAGCCUGAUCCAGCAAUGCCGCGUGAGUGAUGAAGGCCCUAGGGUUGUAAAGCUCUUUUACCCGGGAAGAUAAUGACUGUACCGGGAGAAUAAGCCCCGGCUAACUCCGUG